ensembl:lncRNA
GGGGGGCACGGUGGGGCGUGGGCGCAGACUGGGAUGCUGUGAGCACAUACUGGGAUGCUGUGGGGCAUACUGGGAUGCUGUGGGACAUACUGGGACACGUGGGUGCAUACUGGGACAUGUGAGCGCAUACUGGGAUGCUGUGAGCACAUACUGGGAUGCUGUGGGACAUACUGGGACACGUGGGUGCAUACUGGGACAUGUGGGUGCAUAAUGGGAUGCUGUGGGUGCAUACUGGGACACUGUGGGUGCAUACUGGGAUGCUCCGGGUACAUACUGGGUCGUGAGUUGCAUACUGGGAUGCUGUGAGCACAUACUGGGAUGCUGUGGGUGCAUACUGGGACACUUGGAUUGCAUACUGGGAUGCUGUGAGCACAUACUGGGACAUGUGGGUGCAUACUGGGAUGCUGUGGGUGCAUACUGGGAUGCUGUGAGCACAUACUGGGAUGCUGUGAACACAUACUGGGACACUGUGGGUGCAUACUGGGAUGCUGUGGGGCAUACUGGGUCAUGGGUUGCAUACUGGGAUGCUGUGAGCACAUACUGGGAUGCUGUGGGCACAUACUGGGAUGCUGUGGGUGCAUACUGGGUCAUGGGCUGCAUACUGGGAUGCUGUGGGGCAUACUGGGACACUGCUGUUGUAUACUGGGGUGCUCUGGGUGCAUACUGGGUCAUGGGCUGCAUACUGGGACACUGUGGGGCAUACUGGGAUGCCGGCCUUACAUACUGGGAUGCCGUGUGUCCGUAGUGGGGACGCCAUCCCAGUGCAUGAGGACAGCGUGGCAGUGGGGGGGGGGGUGACAGCAGACAGGGAGGUGGCUGCACCCCCCCGCUGUCCCUGUCCCCACCCGUCCCUCUGUCCGUCCGUCUGUCCCCAGGUGCCGCUGUCCCCAUUGGAGCCGAAGCGCCGCGUGGCUUUUUUUCUACCAAUCAUUUUCUAUGAUUCCGACGGCGUUCGCGACGGAUUUUUUUUUAUCUCCCCCCCCCAAAUCCCCCCCAACCCCCCCCCAAACCCCCCCUCCCCAUCCCCCCCUUCCGCUAUGGGGACAGAACCCCCCCUCUGUGUCCCCAAUGCCACCACGGGGUGACCCCAGGACCCCCCCCAGCGCCCCCCGCGCUCCAUUCUGAGGGCGCAGCUCCUCGGCUUGGGGGUGGCACACAGCUGUGCACGUGGGUUUGUGCACAUGCAUUUGCACACCCACCCUCCUGCACACACACACACACACACACACACACACACGUGUGUGCAACGCACCCACGCCCCUUGCGCACGCGCUUUGCAUGCGCACCGCCGCGCGGGCACAUGUGAACACGUGAACACACGGGAACACGCGUGAACCCACGGGAACCCACGGGAACAUGCGUGAACCCACGUGCACACGCGUGUGCAUGCAGUGCUGAGCACACCCACACCGCUAUUAAACGGAUCCUUUCCGCAGCGCCUCCUCUUCGCUCAGCGCCGGGUGGGCGCACGGAGAGCCCCGGACCCCCCUUUGGUUCCCACCCCCACCCCUUUGGCUCAGCUCCCCCCAUUGCUCUGAGCGUGGCCCGGCGGCGGUGUACGG